rnacentral:rRNA from 1 species
UACGAAGGGGGCUAGCGUUGUUCGGAAUCACUGGGCGUAAAGCGCACGUAGGCGGAUGUGUCAGUCAGGGGUGAAAUCCCGGAGCUCAACUUCGGAACUGCCUUUGAUACAGCACGUCUUGAGUCCGGAAGAGGUGGGUGGAAUUCCUAGUGUAGAGGUGAAAUUCGUAGAUAUUAGGAAGAACACCGGUGGCGAAGGCGGCCCACUGGUCCAUGACUGACGCUGAGGCUCGAAAGCGUGGGGAGCAAACAGG